AAAAAGGCAAACCCUGGGUUUGCGUGUCCAACUUUGACUGUCCGUCUUAUAUGAAUUUUUUUUAAAAUUUGUAUUUUCAUUGUUGUUAGAUGAUAAAACAUGAUUAAUAUUUUAUGCGUGACUUGUCUUUUUAAUUUUUUUCAUAAUUUUUUCAAAUAAGACGGACGGUCAAACGUUGGGCACGGAAACCAGGGUUUGUCUUUUU
rfam:Oryza sativa Japonica Group DNA, chromosome 9, cultivar: Nipponbare, complete sequence.